CAGAUGCGCCCGCAUCAUGUAAACAAACGGGCACUCACGAGUGUGUUCCACCUAGGGACAUAUCGGCUUCCACACAGUGAGCCAAGCCGUGAGGAGCAGCUGGCCUCCUCCCCGUCCUCUUAUAGGGGUGGUCCUCCCUGGAAGCCUUUGAGGGACGUCCUGGUGGCAAGGACCUCCCAGACGCGCCUGGGAGGCUGAUCGUAGUGCACUGUCCGUGGUCAUUUUGUCAUAGGACGCGAUGAAUGAUGUCAGAGGGUCUAUGAAGUCGGGGUCACCUCUCAGCUUGAGUGUGAGUGACUUGAAAACACGUGCCAGCUCGUCCUCAAGUACAGAUGUGCCUUGGGGUUGAAGUAGAAUAUUACGUUCAUUAGCAGGAAAUGACAUAUUGGGACAUUUAUUCAAUCCGGUUUGUGCAAACAAAGCAUAACCAUUUCUCAUGGACAAUGGUUCAUGUUUCUCAUGCAAUAACAUAUGUCAUGUUUAUAGUGUAAUGCCAGAAUAGUAAAGACCUGCAUAGUGCGCCGAAUUUAAAAGAUUUCUCUUCGCACUCCUUCGAAUGCUUUCCCCUUGACGCCGUUGCCUGAAACACCAAAUAUUUGUAAGGAUUUUUUUAUAAGAUUUUAGCAAGUUAGUUAUCAAUAUGUCAUUUUAUGGGGACAUAAACAGUUGAUAUUGGCCUUCAAAUAAAUCUAAACUUUCUAAUGAGUCUCAUCAGCUAAACAAACAAUGAUCUAACCUGGAGGGCCCUGGCUCACGUAGAUUUUCAGGAGUUUCAGCAGGGGAGCUGGGUGGUGUCUCUGACUGUAGCAAAACUGGCCUUGUUUCUGGCUUGACUUUUUGCCUCUCUCCAUUUCUUUCUUUUUGCCCUCUUUUCUCUCUCACUGAGCUCAUUGAUACCUUUCUUCUUUCCAGUCUCUCUGUCUUUUUUCCAUUUGUCCCUUUCUUUCUCAAAGUACUUUCUUUUUCUGUCUGGGUCAGCAUCACAACGUUCCCGAUAUCUCCUUGCUAUCUCAGCUCCUUUCGAUCUCAUUCCUUGAAAAAGGCGAUUCAAAAUAUUCCCUUACACACUUUAAUUGGCAGUCCCGGUAAACUAGGCUUGCCUUAUCAAACUAGGCUUGCUGAUACAGAUAUCGCCAAUUUUAUUUCUCCAUAUUGUCCAUUCUCACUAUAUAUAGCAUGUACUGCUAUAAAAUGUGUGUAAUAGCUGUUGUAAUAUGUGUAACAUUAUCAGCAUGUGGCCUAAACUGUCCACAAUAAGUGGAUGUCCUUCCUGUCAUGAACCAUGUCCACCCUGUCAUGGAAGGCUUGCUGACAGGGUGGACAAUGACGGGGUGGACAUUUUUGGCAUUUUUUUUACAAAUAUAUUUAUCAAUUGAUAUAUUCUAUCAAUUGAUAUUUCAAGAUGACAGAGUGAACAUGUUAAGCUUGACAACAUCCAACUACACACAUAAUAUGAUGAAAAUUACGAAACAUAAGUGUAAAUACUUACUCUGCAAUUAGCCACUGCUUCAGCCUCCAUUGAAGAAAGACAAAAUGCUUGUAGUGAUGUCAUUGAAAACAUCAGAGGGUUUCUUAAAGGGUCAGUUACCCCAUAAUGACAGGGUGGACAGCAAUUCUCAGGGACACAUGCAAAAUGUUCAAUAUGAUUAUGAAAAUAGAAUAUACAUGAUCAAAAUUACUUGUUUUAUCAAAUAACUUAUCGUGGACAAUAAAACCAUGUAAAUUCUU